rnacentral:rRNA from 1 species
UACGUAGGGCGCAAGCGUUGUCCGGAAUUAUUGGGCGUAAAGAGCUCGUAGGCGGUUUGUCGCGUCUGUCGUGAAAGCUUGGGGCUUAACCCCAAGUCUGCGGUGGAUACGGGCAGACUAGAGGCAGGUAGGGGAGAACGGAAUUCCUGGUGUAGCGGUGAAAUGCGCAGAUAUCAGGAGGAACACCGGUGGCGAAGGCGGGUCUCUGGGCCGUAACUGACGCUGAGGAGCGAAAGCAUGGGGAGCGAACAGG